rnacentral:tRNA from 1 species
AGUUUUAUAUUCUAAUGAAAGAUUUUAAAUUGCAAAUUUAAAGAUAUAAUUAUGUAUUAUUAAGACUU